rnacentral:rRNA from 1 species
AUCAUGGCUCAGAACGAACGCUGGCGGCAGGCCUAACACAUGCAAGUCGAACGCCCCGCAAGGGAAGUGGCAGACGGGUGAGUAACGCGUGGGAACAUACCCUUCGGUUCGGAAUAGCUCAGGGAAACUUGGAUUAAUACCGGAUACGUCCGCAAGGAGAAAGAUUUAUCGCCGAAGGAUUGGCCCGCGUCUGAUUAGCUAGUUGGUGAGGUAAUGGCCCACCAAGGCGACGAUCAGCAGCUGGUCUGAGAGGAUGAUCAGCCACAUUGGGACUGAGACACGGCCCAAACUCCUACGGGAGGCAGCAGUGGGGAAUAUUGGACAAUGGGCGAAAGCCUGAUCCAGCCAUGCCGCGUGAGUGAUGAAGGCCUUAGGGUUGUAAAGCUCUUUUACCUGGGAAGAUAAUGACGGUACCAGGAGAAUAAGCCCCGGCUAA